GACGAACGCUGGCGGCGUGCCUAAUACAUGCAAGUCGAACGGAGUGGCUCACGGGUGAGAAAUAUAUAGCUAAUCUGCCCCUUGCUGGAGGACAACAGUUAGAAAUGCCUGCUAAUACUACAUAGCAAGGGAUUAGACUAUUUCGUAUCAGCUAGUCGGGGGGGUAACGGCCUACCGAGGCAAUGACUGUUAACUGGUCUGAGAGGAUGAUCAGUCACAUUUGAACUGUGACACGGUCCAAAGUCCUACGGGUGGCAGCAGUAGGGGAUAUUGCGCAAUGGGGGAAACCCUGAGGCAGCACCGCCGCGUGGAGGUUGACACUCUUCGGAGUGUAAACUCCUUUUGUUAGGGAAGCGGUACCUAACGAAUAAGCACCGGCUAACUCCGUGCCAGCAGCCGCGGUAAUAC
rnacentral:rRNA from 1 species